rnacentral:misc_RNA from 1 species
ACUGAGUCUUGAAAUGGGGUUGUAGCUGGCCUUAUCAGACAUGUGCUCACCCUGUUCAAAUCCACUCUACACCUGUGCACUUACUGUGGGCUUCGGUUUUGGGGGGUCUUGUAUUUUAACUUGACCUUUUAGCUGGGCUCAUGUUUUUGUUAUAAACGCUUUCAGUAUCAGAAUGUGUAUCGCGAUGUAACGCAUCUUUAU